rnacentral:rRNA from 1 species
UACGGAGGAUGCAAGCGUUAUCCGGAAUUAUUGGGCCUAAAGCAUCCGUAGCCGGUCCUGCAAGUCUUCCGUUAAAUCCAGCUGCUCAACAGAUGGGCUGCGGGGAUACUACAGGGCUAGGAGGCGGGAGAGGCAAGCGGUACUUUAUGGGUAGGGGUAAAAUCCGUUGAUCCAUAGAAGACCACCAGUGGCGAAGGCGGCUUGCCAGAACGCGCUCGACGGUGAGGGAUGAAAGCUGGGGGAGCAAACCGG